rnacentral:rRNA from 1 species
GGGUUGUGAGGUUAAGCGACUAAGCGUACACGGUGGAUGCCCUGGCAGUCAGAGGCGAUGAAGGACGUGCUAAUCUGCGAUAAGCGUCGGUAAGGUGAUAUGAACCGUUAUAACCGGCGAUUUCCGAAUGGGGAAACCCAGUGUGAUUCGUCACACUAUCAUUAACUGAAUCCAUAGGUUAAUGAGGCGAACCGGGGGAACUGAAACAUCUAAGUACCCCGAGGAAAAGAAAUCAACCGAGAUUCCCCCAGUAGCGGCGAGCGAACGGGGAGCAGCCCAGAGCCUGAAUCAGUGUGUGUGUUAGUGGAAGCGUCUGGAAAGGCGCGCGAUACAGGGUGACAGCCCCGUACACAAAAAUGCACAUACUGUGAGCUCGAUGAGUAGGGCGGGACACGUGGUAUCCUGUCUGAAUAUGGGGGGACCAUCCUCCAAGGCUAAAUACUCCUGACUGACCGAUAGUGAACCAGUACCGUGAGGGAAAGGCGAAAAGAACCCCGGCGAGGGGAGUGAAAAAGAACCUGAAACCGUGUACGUACAAGCAGUGGGAGCACGCUUAGGCGUGUGACUGCGUACCUUUUGUAUAAUGGGUCAGCGACUUAUAUUCUGUAGCAAGGUUAACCGAAUAGGGGAGCCGAAGGGAAACCGAGUCUUAACUGGGCGUUAAGUUGCAGGGUAUAGACCCGAAACCCGGUGAUCUAGCCAUGGGCAGGUUGAAGGUUGGGUAACACUAACUGGAGGACCGAACCGACUAAUGUUGAAAAAUUAGCGGAUGACUUGUGGCUGGGGGUGAAAGGCCAAUCAAACCGGGAGAUAGCUGGUUCUCCCCGAAAGCUAUUUAGGUAGCGCCUCGUGAAUUCAUCUCCGGGGGUAGAGCACUGUUUCGGCAAGGGGGUCAUCCCGACUUACCAACCCGAUGCAAACUGCGAAUACCGGAGAAUGUUAUCACGGGAGACACACGGCGGGUGCUAACGUCCGUCGUGAAGAGGGAAACAACCCAGACCGCCAGCUAAGGUCCCAAAGUCAUGGUUAAGUGGGAAACGAUGUGGGAAGGCCCAGACAGCCAGGAUGUUGGCUUAGAAGCAGCCAUCAUUUAAAGAAAGCGUAAUAGCUCACUGGUCGAGUCGGCCUGCGCGGAAGAUGUAACGGGGCUAAACCAUGCACCGAAGCUGCGGCAGCGACGCUGAUGCGUUGUUGGGUAGGGGAGCGUUCUGUAAGCCUGUGAAGGUGUGCUGUGAGGCAUGCUGGAGGUAUCAGAAGUGCGAAUGCUGACAUAAGUAACGAUAAAGCGGGUGAAAAGCCCGCUCGCCGGAAGACCAAGGGUUCCUGUCCAACGUUAAUCGGGGCAGGGUGAGUCGACCCCUAAGGCGAGGCCGAAAGGCGUAGUCGAUGGGAAACAGGUUAAUAUUCCUGUACUUGGUGUUACUGCGAAGGGGGACGGAGAAGGCUAUGUUGGCCGGGCGACGGUUGUCCCGGUUUAAGCGUGUAGGCUGGUUUUCCAGGCAAAUCCGGAAAAUCAAGGCUGAGGCGUGAUGACGAGGCACUACGGUGCUGAAGCAACAAAUGCCCUGCUUCCAGGAAAAGCCUCUAAGCAUCAGGUAACAUCAAAUCGUACCCCAAACCGACACAGGUGGUCAGGUAGAGAAUACCAAGGCGCUUGAGAGAACUCGGGUGAAGGAACUAGGCAAAAUGGUGCCGUAACUUCGGGAGAAGGCACGCUGAUAUGUAGGUGAAGCGACUUGCUCGUGGAGCUGAAAUCAGUCGAAGAUACCAGCUGGCUGCAACUGUUUAUUAAAAACACAGCACUGUGCAAACACGAAAGUGGACGUAUACGGUGUGACGCCUGCCCGGUGCCGGAAGGUUAAUUGAUGGGGUCAGCGCAAGCGAAGCUCUUGAUCGAAGCCCCGGUAAACGGCGGCCGUAACUAUAACGGUCCUAAGGUAGCGAAAUUCCUUGUCGGGUAAGUUCCGACCUGCACGAAUGGCGUAAUGAUGGCCAGGCUGUCUCCACCCGAGACUCAGUGAAAUUGAACUCGCUGUGAAGAUGCAGUGUACCCGCGGCAAGACGGAAAGACCCCGUGAACCUUUACUAUAGCUUGACACUGAACAUUGAGCCUUGAUGUGUAGGAUAGGUGGGAGGCUUUGAAGUGUGGACGCCAGUCUGCAUGGAGCCGACCUUGAAAUACCACCCUUUAAUGUUUGAUGUUCUAACGUUGACCCGUAAUCCGGGUUGCGGACAGUGUCUGGUGGGUAGUUUGACUGGGGCGGUCUCCUCCUAAAGAGUAACGGAGGAGCACGAAGGUUGGCUAAUCCUGGUCGGACAUCAGGAGGUUAGUGCAAUGGCAUAAGCCAGCUUGACUGCGAGCGUGACGGCGCGAGCAGGUGCGAAAGCAGGUCAUAGUGAUCCGGUGGUUCUGAAUGGAAGGGCCAUCGCUCAACGGAUAAAAGGUACUCCGGGGAUAACAGGCUGAUACCGCCCAAGAGUUCAUAUCGACGGCGGUGUUUGGCACCUCGAUGUCGGCUCAUCACAUCCUGGGGCUGAAGUAGGUCCCAAGGGUAUGGCUGUUCGCCAUUUAAAGUGGUACGCGAGCUGGGUUUAGAACGUCGUGAGACAGUUCGGUCCCUAUCUGCCGUGGGCGCUGGAGAACUGAGGGGGGCUGCUCCUAGUACGAGAGGACCGGAGUGGACGCAUCACUGGUGUUCGGGUUGUCAUGCCAAUGGCACUGCCCGGUAGCUAAAUGCGGAAGAGAUAAGUGCUGAAAGCAUCUAAGCACGAAACUUGCCCCGAGAUGAGUUCUCCCUGACUCCUUGAGAGUCCUGAAGGAACGUUGAAGACGACGACGUUGAUAGGCCGGGUGUGUAAGCGCAGCGAUGCGUUGAGCUAACCGGUACUAAUGAACCGUGAGGCUUAACCUUACAACGCCGAAGCUGUU